rnacentral:rRNA from 1 species
GACGUAGGGGGCCAGCGUUGUUCGGAAUUACUGGGUGUAAAGGGUUCGUAGGCGGUGUGGCAAGUCGGGAGUGAAAUUUCUGGGCUCAACUCAGAGACUGCUUCCGAAACUGCUGUGCUGGAGUGUGGGAGAGGCGCGUGGAAUUGCAGGUGUAGCGGUGAAAUGCGUAGAUAUCUGCAGGAACACCCGUGGCGAAAGCGGCGCGCUGGACUACUACUGACGCUGAGGAACGAAAGCUAGGGGAGCAAACAGG